GGAGAUGUGGCUUAGUGGUAGAGCACUUGUCUAGUAUGUGUGAGGGUUUGAUUCUCAGCAAAACAUAAAAAUAAAUAAAUAAAAUAUUAUGUACUUCUACAACUAUAAAAGUAAAAAAUAAAUAAAAAAAUAAAGGGCUAGGGAUGUAGUUCAGUGUUAUAGUGUCCCUGAGUUCAAUCCUCAGUACCA
rnacentral:tRNA from 1 species